GCUGGAAUGGUCUAGUUGGUUAUGACGACUGCCUAACACGCAGUAGGUCCCGACUCGGAGUUCGAUUCUCGGUUCCAGUA